rnacentral:rRNA from 1 species
AACGCUAGCUACAGGCUUAACACAUGCAAGUCGAGGGGCAGCAUGGUCUUAGCUUGCUAAGGCCGAUGGCGACCGGCGCACGGGUGAGUAACACGUAUCCAACCUGCCGUCUACUCUUGGACAGCCUUCUGAAAGGAAGAUUAAUACAAGAUGGCAUCAUGAGUUCACAUGUUCACAUGAUUAAAGGUAUUCCGGUAGACGAUGGGGAUGCGUUCCAUUAGAUAGUAGGCGGGGUAACGGCCCACCUAGUCUUCGAUGGAUAGGGGUUCUGAGAGGAAGGUCCCCCACAUUGGAACUGAGACACGGUCCAAACUCCUACGGGAGGCAGCAGUGAGGAAUAUUGGUCAAUGGGCGAGAGCCUGAACCAGCCAAGUAGCGUGAAGGAUGACUGCCCUAUGGGUUGUAAACUUCUUUUAUAAAGGAAUAAAGUCGGGUAUGCAUACCCGUUUGCGUGUACUUUAUGAAUAAGGAUCGGCUAACUCCGUGCCAGCAGCCGCGGUAAUACGGAGGAUCCGAGCGUUAUCCGGAUUUAUUGGGUUUAAAGGGAGCGUAGAUGGAUGUUUAAGUCAGUUGUGAAAUGUAGAUGCUCAACAUCUGCACUGCAGCGCGAACUGGUUUCCUUGAGUACGCACAAAGUGGGCGGAAUUCGUGGUGUAGCGGUGAAAUGCUUAGAUAUCACGAAGAACUCCGAUUG